rnacentral:rRNA from 1 species
GGCAGCGCAGGUAGCAAUACUGGGCGGCGACCGGCAAACGGGUGCGGAACACGUACACAACCUUCCUACAAGUGGGGAAUAGCCCAGAGGAAUUUGGAUUAAUACCCCGUAACAUAACGAUGUGGCAUCACAUUGUUAUUAUAGCUUCGGCGCUUGUUGAUGGGUGUGCGGCUGAUUAGAUAGUUGGCGGGGUAACGGCCCACCAAGUCUACGAUCAGUAGCUGAUGUGAGAGCAUGAUCAGCCACACGGGCACUGAGACACGGGCCCGACUCCUACGGGAGGCAGCAGUAAGGAAUAUUGGUCAAUGGACGCAAGUCUGAACCAGCCAUGCCGCGUGAAGGAUUAAGGUCCUCUGGAUUGUAAACUUCUUUUAUUUGGGACGAAAAAAGGGCAUUCUUGCUCACUUGACGGUACCAGAUGAAUAAGCACCGGCUAACUCCGUGCCAGCAGCCGCGGUAAUACGGAGGGUGCAAGCGUUAUCCGGAUUCACUGGGUUUAAAGGGUGCGUAGGCGGGCAGUUAAGUCAGUGGUGAAAUCCUAGAGCUUAACUCUAGAACUGCCAUUGAUACUAUCUGUCUUGAAUAUUGUGGAGGUAAGCGGAAUAUGUCAUGUAGCGGUGAAAUGCUUAGAUAUGACAUAGAACACCUAUUGCGAAGGCAGCUUACUACGCAUAUAUUGACGCUGAGGCACGAAAGCGUGGGGAUCAAACAGGAUUAGAUACCCUGGUAGUCCACGCCCUAAACGAUGAUUACUCGACAUUUGUGAUACACUAUAAGUGUCUGAGCGAAAGCAUUAAGUA